UGACAGCUAAAAGAUGACGAUCCGGCUUAUCCAAUAUAGAAAUGUCCUCCAAUGGGUUACUGUUUAAAAUUAUAAGGUCAGCAUAAAAACCUGGGUUCAGCUGUCCUAGCUUGUUCUCCAUUCCGAAAAGUUUGGCAGGAUUAAUUGUAGCCUGUUGUAAAAUUUCGAUAGGCUUACAUACGGCGGAACGUAAUAAAAAUUCGCCGGUCUAUGCUGCAAUCAAAGGACCGAAUAAAUCGGAUCCAUAGCAAAAUUUAACGCCAGCAUUUUUUGCAAUAGCUAAAAACUUUAAUCCUGAAGCAAGAACUUCUGCAUUCUUCGUUCUUGAUGCUUCAGGAAGGAAUUUGGAAAAUGGCUCGCUUGCCAUUAUCUUGUAGGUAAUGAGAGUGGGUGUGAGGUACGCAUCAUGAUCAGCCAUACAUGCUGCUGUCGAUUCGUUAAUUAAAUUACCAUGCUCGAUCCCUCGUACACCAUUUUCCACGCAUUGACGAAUAGAAUGAGUUGUAUAUGCAUGAGCAGUAACAUAAGAACCGCUACUGUUGGCAGCCUUUACAAUAGCCCUAAUUUCUUCCGGAGUAAACUGAAGUGAGGAUAACUUGUCAGUUGGGGAAGCAACUCCACCUCCAGCCAUGAUUUUGAUGAAGUCAGCACCUUUUCUCAGUUCAUCUCUUGCUGCCUUCAAACAUUCAUCAGCUCCAUCACAUAUUCUAGAGAUACAUUACUUUGACAACCACAAGAAACUUCCAUAUGGUCUUCGGAAACCGGAUCACGUAAAUCACCGUGACCACCUGUUUGUGAAAGAGCUCUUCCGGCUAGAAGUAAUCGAGGUCCGUGAAUGACAUCAUCCUCUAUGGCAUCCCGAACAAAUGCGGCGGCUCCACCACAAUCCCUAACAGUAGUGAAUCCUCUUUCUAGCAUUUGGUUACAAACCUUGUGAAAGCGUAAGACAGCACGCGAAAAUGAGAGUCGUAAGGCAGACUUCAUAUCAGCUUCUCCUGGAACAGCCACAAUGUGAACGUGUGCGUCAAUCAAUCCAGGACAUACGAAUUGUCCCUCAAGAUCCACGACAUUGAAACCCUCUUUCACUGCUCCUUUGGUGGUAUCAAUUUGACUUAUAAUUCCAUCGUUGGUAUAAAUAGUAGCACUUUUUAUUAUUUCCCCUGUUACAACGUCGACUAUAUUGGCAUUUGUAAAGGCAUAGUUUUUUUUGGAGGUAGUAGCCAAGGUUUUAUGAGAUGCUGUAUAUCCUUCGACAUUAGUACUCUUCGUAGUUGUGUUUUCAAAUGUAUGUCAAGAGAAGUUUGGGCUUACCCCUUUAUAUCUGUUUUAGUGGAGACUCUUAUUGAUACCCCAGAAUCGUUACGUAUUAACAUUCAGAUAUAAAUCGAACAACGAAUUGUCCACUUCUGAGCCUCAUGUAAAUAAAAAAUGACCAGAUGUCGGAGGUUAUGUUAGGAAGUCGGCUGUCGAAAGAAAACAUCCGAAUGUAUACCACAGAUGUUUCAUUUUCAGUUUAACACAGUUAGUGCAUCUCCCGGGAUAUUUUUGUUCCAUUCAUUUAUUUAUUUAUAUUUUUUCAAAUCACGAUUGCUAAUGAGCCACUUUUUUUCAAGUUCAAUCGGAAUUGAAAUCUAAGCAAUGGGAAGCACCACAACUUUUUCUACUUAAUACUUUGUUUACCUUUACACGAAACUUAAAAUCGAAUAAAGUAAAGCAUGAAACAAAUAUUGCGAUUAAAGUAUAAAACAUUCUACUUUCUAUCUAGAUUUGUCAAUCUUCAUAUCAAAUUAUUUAAGAUGCUGGAAAUUUUUAAUGUGAUGUAGUGCAAUAGUAUAUAUUAUUCA